GAUUAAAAGCCACCAAAUUUAGUGUAAGUUUGAUUGAAGCAUGCAAUCAUUCUGCUUCAGGCAGUGAUCAAGAAAAAAACAGUGAAAGUUCUGAUUCAGUACUGAGGUCCAACAACGAUGAAAUAAAUCAUAAUAAACAUAGACGUAAAAAAUACAAAAAGAAAAACAGUAGACUCAUUCAACGUUCAUCAAAAGAAAAAGAAGAAUUUACAAGAAAAAAGGAGUUAUUUUUGAAAAAUAAUAAACAAAAUCCAAAUACUCACCAGUCACCAGAUUCUGAGAGUGAAAUGUUAGUGGAACAGAUUGAAAAUAUAAACGAAAAUCCUGAGUUCACAAAAUAGUGAAAUUAUUUCUAGUUCAAACAAUAGACAAUCUCUCGCUCCUUUAAACGCAGCAAAUAUAGAUUUCAAUGGAGGGCAUAGUUCGACUCUUUCUACUUUGACCAGGGGUAAUAAUUUUCAAAGUAGGAACCUUCAUCCUAAAAAUACUUCAUCAAAGCCACGUUCACACCAAAGAAGAUAUUCUCGUGCAAGAAACUGUAGUUCAGAAGAAGAAAAUAAAUGUGGUCA